rnacentral:rRNA from 1 species
AAACUUGAGAGUUUGAUCCUGGCUCAGAACGAACGCUGGCGGCAGGCCUAAAACAUGCAAGUCGAGCGCCCAGCAAUGGGAGCGGCGGACGGGUGAGUAACACGUGGGAACAUGCCUUUCGGUACGGAACAACUCAGGGAAACUUGAGCUAAUACCGUAUGCGCCCUAACGGGGAAAGAUUUAUCGCCGAAGGAUUGGCCCGCGUUGGAUUAGCUUGUUGGUGAGGUAACGGCUCACCAAGGCGACGAUCCAUAGCUGGUUUGAGAGAACGAUCAGCCACACUGGGACUGAGACACGGCCCAGACUCCUACGGGAGGCAGCAGUUGGGAAUCUUGGACAAUGGGGGAAACCCUGAUCCAGCCAUGCCGCGUGAGUGAUGAAGGCCUUAGGGUUGUAAAGCUCUUUCGCACGCGACGAUAAUGACGGUAGCGUGAGAAGAAGCCCCGGCUAACUUCGUGCCAGCAGCCGCGGUAAUACGAAGGGGGCUAGCGUUGUUCGGAAUUACUGGGCGUAAAGCGCGCGCAGGCGG